rnacentral:rRNA from 1 species
AGUCUACGAGAGUAGUUGACUCGUGCGUAGGACGAACGCUGGCGGCGUGCCUAACACAUGCAAGUCGAGCGGGGGAGUUCUUCGGAACAACCUAGCGGCGGACGGGUGAGUAACACGUGGGUAACCUGCCUCAAAGUGGGGGAUAGCCUUCCGAAAGGAAGAUUAAUACCGCAUAACCCAUGAUUUCCGCAUGGAAGUCAUGGUAAAGAUUUAUCGCUUUGAGAUGGACCCGCGGCGCAUUAGCUAGUUGGUGAGGUAACGGCUCACCAAGGCCACGAUGCGUAGCCGACCUGAGAGGGUGAUCGGCCACAUUGGAACUGAGACACGGUCCAGACUCCUACGGGAGGCAGCAGUGGGGAAUAUUGCACAAUGGGCGGAAGCCUGAUGCCAGCAACGCCGCGUGAGUGAUGAAGGCCUUCGGGUUGUAAAGCUCUGUCUUUUGGGACGAUAAUGACGGUACCAAAGGAGGAAGCCACGGCUAACUACGUGCCAGCAGCUGC